GAAUCCACCCCCCCCACCCCCUCACACCCCCCCCCCGCCACACACACACACACACACACACACACACACACACACACAUUGAGACCAAAAGGGCUGCAAACAGGAAACUCAGACCAGAGAGCUGCUGCUGGCUGUGGGGUGGCAGCCCAAGCUCACACAGGAGAACGACACUCUCAAAGGUGCUGCUCCCUCUGCCCCUGUGAGCUGCGGGUGCCAGGGCCGGCUUCCUGGGAACUGCCCUGAAAUUGAGCAGCUCCUGGUCCACAGGAGGCACCCAGCUGCUUCCCACCUUGAAGAUUUCUCCUGGCCCUCGGCUAUUGAAGGACCCCGGGAGCCUGCCGCGAGGAGGUGUGGACAGGGACAGUGCGGGCAGCCCUGUGGCACACCUCCUUGCUGUCCUGCAUGCCCCCUCUCCAGCCUGGGGAGUUCACAAAACACUUCAGCUGAGAUGCAAACAGAAGCCUGA
rnacentral:lncRNA from 1 species